rnacentral:rRNA from 1 species
UACAGAGGUCUCAAGCGUUGUUCGGAUUCAUUGGGCGUAAAGGGCGCGUAGGCGGUGGGGUAAGGUCUGGUGUGAAAUCUCGGAGCUCAACUUCGAAAUUGCACUGGAUACUGCUCUGCUAGAGGGCUGGAGAGGAGAUCGGAAUUCACGGUGUAGCAGUGAAAUGACGUAGAUAUCGUGAGGAAGACCAGUGGCGAAGGCGGAUCUCUGGACAGCUCCUGACGCUGAGGCGCGAAGGCUAGGGGAGCAAACGGG